GGUUGGGCGAGUGCGGUGUUGCUCCGGCGAUCAUCGAUGCUAAGCAGCGUUUCGCUGGGACACUACUUGGAUGGGUGACCGCUUAGGAACACCGUUCGCUCGCUCAAAAAAUUACUGCGCGGAAGGCACGGGUGUGGAGACCCAGUGUUGUACCCUUCUAGUCAGUGCGACGGAAGGGUACACUGGGACCCUGCACUAUCAGCCGACUGUACGGUAGAGGUUUUCCAUGGUUUCCCUCUACUCCUGUGCAAAUGCAGUACAGCUGGGGAAAAAGUUGGUCCCAUGGCACCGCAGGGGAAGGGGAACAAAAAUGUAAAAGAGAAACGGGAGAGGAGGUAAAAACAAAGAGGGAUCACAGUGUUAGGGAGAAAGAAAGGAGGAGGUGUAAAACCGAAAAAGGUAACACCAAAGAAAAAUAGAUAAUAAUAAUAAUAAUAAUAAUACUUCAUCAUCCAUACCAAUUCCUGUGUCUUUACUCCGAAAAUAUGACGAAAAUGGGUUGCGGUAGUGGAAAUUGGGACUUUCUUAAGGUAACCCAGGGUGCACCACGUAGAGGUAAACUCUGCUCGCCUCCCUUGCAUUAACCAAGAGGAGGAAAAUAGCGCAAACCUGUGUGGACGUUUACAGCGCUAAUGAGGUCACGAGUUGGUCAAUGUUGCCACCGUUGACUUGCAACAUACCCACUCGCCUGGUGCAUCCUGGCUUCUGCUGAGAAAGUUUGAACCUUCAGUUUGAUAUGAGAACUCAUUUUCGUCGCAUUUUCUGAGGAGAAACGCGGGAAUUGACGUAAAUGAUGAGAUAUCUAAAAACUGUUCAUCAAAAUAAACAAGUUUCAUUGGGGUGAAAAAUGCGAUUGCUUUUUUUAAAAAAAAGCUCCCUAUGCUUGCAGCUCGUAAUCAUGACCUUGAAAGCUGAAAAAAAAUGAAUGCAUUAAAUACACCCCUCGAACCCUACAAUCAAUGUCCCCAAAUCUUUCCUGUCACUUCCUCUCCUCAGGAGAUAUUCAGGUGGAUUGGUUUUCGAUUAGGUGAAAAAUAACUGCACCAAAUACGUUCAUUUUGCCCAUAUCUCUGGAUAUUUUUUCUGUUGAAAUAGACUCCCUCAAUUCAUUUCUCGAAUCAAGUGGUGAUAGGACCAAUAGGACCACUAUAGGGAUAAUAGGGUCCCUUAAUAAUAGGACUAAAUCAAGUCAUUCAUUCACAGGAAAGAAUUUAGAACAACUUGCGUAAUAUCCCCCUCUACCGGCUUUUUGUUUAUUGACAUGUAUUUAUGAGCGUCGUAUCCCCUUUUAUUUUUUAUUUUAUGUUCAAAGAAACGAUAGUGCCAGUUUUAUUUGUAAGCAACGAUACAUUACACUAUGCACUUAGCACAUUUUUCGACAAAAACAUUUUGUGACCAAUAUCGUGGAGGUACUACCACUACUAGAACAAGUAUGGCUUCCCGUCCGUGGGGCACUUUUUCCGUGUUAUUUUAAAGUGAAAACAAGCAGGCGACCGGUGCUAUUCGACAGAAGUGAUGUGACCGAUACUUUGCGCGUUAUUAUUUAUUUUCCAUCAUUUAUAUAGAAGUGAAGUGGUAUACCAUUUGGAUUAGUAGUAUGCUUGCGAAUGGAUUCGCACCAAUUCCAUUCCGAAAAUGGAAAGGAAACGAUCGCAUCUAAGAGUGGAGCACCUCCACAGGUUUUGAGACUCAUUGUGUUUUAUGUAAGAAACCCUCGAUGCCAAAAGAUAAACCAGGACGUAUAAUAUGUACUCCUAAUGUACCUAAUGUGCAUCGAAAAAUGCAUUGCUCUUCGUAAUGAUGAAGGGUCUGAAGAAGAGAGGUUAAUAGUCGAGGGAAGGAUCUGCAACAAGAAAAAGCUCCUUAUCACACUGUCUGUUUCGAAAAAUUUUAAUACAAGUGUAAGCACAAUGCUAGAUCAACUCGUACCCGGGGCUAAAUGCUGAGUUUGAAGGUGUUCGUCAUUAUAUGGAAAAGAGUGGUGUGAGUGUGAAUUCUUUUUCGGUGACCUAAUGGAGGACAUGGAAGGUUGGACAACUUUCAGAGCCACUUUGAAACAAAAACUUAUCAACAAGUAUGGAAAAUUUUAUGGUGAAGGAAUACCAAAAAAUCAAAUGGAAGACAGACACUGUAUUGUUUGUGCAGCUGCAGCUAUAGUUCGUCAAAACAUCCGCAGCCGGGCAUACGAAACAUUGUUUUAUCCAACUCCUGAAGAGCUACUGAAAAAUGUUGAAAUUGAUAUUCCUGAAACUGGGCAAUUUCUUGGAUGGUGUUUACUUCAAGAGUAUUGGAAAUGGGAAGCUUAAUUAAAUUAAAAUGCAAUCAAUUUAUAAAUAACUUUUCUUUUAUUCUUAAAACGCACGAGGAAGAAAAACGUCUGUACUCGAUGAGCUGCUUGAGCUAACUAACUAGACGGUCAUAGGACCAAAAAGAAUAUCGUCACCCAUAUACAAAGGAGCCCUUAUUCCCUUCUCGCCAUGGAGUCAUUGUUUAUAUUUAUAUUAAAUCUCCGGCACUCUCUACAUCGAUUCAGUUUUGAACACAUAAGCCCUGGAAGUAUUUCCUAGAAUAAAUGAAACUAUAUAAUCCAAUAAAGAGCAAAAAAAAACUGAACAAAAAUUAGUGAUGAAAUGUAAUUUUGUCGCUCAUGCAAUCGUAUCAGCUCUUCGUUCAAGGACAACAGGAGUUUACUUACAUAGAAGACUUGCUUCCAAAGAACUAAUCACAAUAUUGAAUGAACUUGGGAUUUGCGAGUCUUACGGCAAUCUUGGUAUCUACGAAGUAUCUGCUAUAUUUAGUGAUAAUAAACUAUUUGAAGAGCAAGCACAUAUUCAGCAUGUAUUUGAUAAUGCUGAUAACAAGGUGCAUACUUUGGAUAGAUUCAAUACAUUCCAUAGUAUGAGAGGUAUUCGUCGCGUGACACCAAAUACUGCAAUCACUACCAAGGUGUGAUACAAACAGAGCCGAAUGCCCAAAGCCUCGGAGUUUUCUUCGAAAUUUAAUAUUUCGAUGGUAUAUGGUGAGAAGUUGGACAAUACAAAAACUGGAUUGAAGUCAUUCAAGUUUGUUGAUGUAUCCCAACUGCAGCUUGGUGAGCGUGAUACGUUACCAGUUGCUUAUGCUCUUCACAUUUGGGCCGAGUGCUUGGAAAUCUUAAAUUUUCCCAGUUGGAGAGACUACAUGGAAUCGAUAACCCACACCUGAGAGUAUGUAGUUGCCCAGGUUCACUGUUUAUCAUUUGUGAACCUCCCACCAUCACAUCCAGACACAAUAAAUACUGUGCUGAAUCAUGCUUAUUCAGAAGCACUCAUUGGUGACUUUUAAUCAGCCGUUGUAUGCGAAAAUUGUGGAGCUGGUGAUGGAUAAACAUACUUACUUCAAAGGUGUCAUAGUGAGAUUGGGGGGAUUUCAUUUGUUGAUGUCAUUUCUUGGAUCUGUUGAAACUAUCAUGGAUGGCAGUGGCUUUAAGGCCUGCUAACAACAGCUCCUGCAGGCAAUACUGUUAACACACAUGAUGAUCGGACAUGCCUUUACCAGAGCAGUUAGAGGUCAUCUCCUCGUAUAUGCCAAAUUGGGACCCAUCAUUGCGCAGAAAUCUAGCAAUAUUUCAAAUGAAAAUCGAGCUUACAUGAGAACUAUGCUCACAGCAUUCCAAGUUCAUGCCACCAAUGCUAGAAGAACUUGAUGUAGACAAAAUAUUCUAAGAAAAGAGCAUAAAAAUGUUGGAGAUGUUGGAAACUUUGACGAACAUUGUAAGAACAUCUCGAUUAAGGCUUGAGUAUUUAAGUUGCAUCACACUGUUGAUAGAAGCAGAGUCUAUAGGGAACUGGGAGCUUCAUCUGAAGUCUGUGCGAGGUAUCUUGCCUAUUUUUCACGCUGCUGGUCGCUUGACCUAUGCCAAAUUCGGUCAAAUAUACUUCCAGCACAUUUCAGAGCUCUCAAAUAUCAUGGACCCGCAAGAAUAUGAAAAAUUGAUGAAACAAGGGUAUUCUACUAUACGAAGAUUUGAUAAAAAAAUAGGCUGGAAUUUGUACAAAUAUGAGUGGAGUAGACGCUGAUGGGUACCAUGAAAACGUCUGGUGGACUAACUCGCAGUCCUGGAAUAAACAAUGAAUGGGCAUGCCAGUUGUCUUUGAAGUGAUCAAUGCUUUCGAAAAUUUUGUAAGAGUACGAACUGCAAGUUCAGAGCAGUACACAGACUGGAGAUCGACAAGUAUCAAGCGUGAUGCUCAGGAUUACGCUAAAUUUUUGAAGUGCCUCCAAAUUUAUGAUCCUUGUUCACCAGUUGAAGCUGAUUGAUUCACAUCACUUGCAGAUUGUGGGAAUGUAGCCUACUGUGGCUAGGCAUUGGAAAUAGGAAAAUCAACCAUGAAGGAAAUGAUUGAAUGCUGCUGACGUGAAAUUGAAGUGUACGACUCGUAUGAAAUCCGUUGCAGCUGCAAGGCGACGUUGAUCUUCCGAAGGAUUACAGCAGCUACGAAGAAUGACUAUCACUUGGCGGUAGAAGUAUUCACCUACGAAUUAGCUCCUUUUCAACUUUGAUUGUUUGAUGAUCAAGGCAUGAUGGGCAAACCCACGAAAGCAAAAUCUUACGAUGCUGUUUCUGCUCAGCCCACUAGUUCUAUCAAUGUAUGUGAGUAUAGACAUGUAAUUGAUGGCGGAUUUUUACUUUAUAAAGUGAUAUGGCCAGCUGGAAGUACCUACGAAAAUGUCUUCAAUCUAUAUGUGAAUUAUGUGACCAGCAAUAAUGUUUUCUUUACAAAGGAUUGUCACCACCUCCAAGACACCAUUCUCUUCAACCAUGCCUUUACUGGGUGUUACCCAACACGUGCUGUUUAUGGCACAGGGAAGAAAAAAUUUUUAGACAUCCUGAAGACAAAAGUAAGUGACGACGUGAAAAUUUUCCAUGAUUCUUAGGCUGCCAAAGAGGGAAUCAAGCAAGCAGGCAGCAUCGGUUGAUGUUGGCUUUAUAUAGUGCCCAUAAGGAAGAAUCAUCGAUUAAUGUCGUGCAUUAAGCUGUAGGUAAGCUUUAGGUGGAAGGUGUGCUACACGAGGAAACGCACCUCGUGUAGCACACCUUCCACCAACUGCUGCAACCACUGAGGAACAUCUGUGGCGAGGCUAUUAACAAGUGCAAAAGUGGCUAGGAUGUGGGCUCAAUCAAUGGACUGGAGAUGGGAGUUGAAGAACAAUAUCUAUUUUCCUAUCAUGACUAGAAUACCAGCUGCAUCAGAAAAUAUCCUCAGGAUGAUCUAUCGUACUUGCAAGAGCAAUGGCAAGGCCACCAAUCGUUGUGGAUGGAUAGCUAUCUGCAGGCUGAAAAUGUAAAAGCAUAUCCACUGGAUGUCACUGAGAUUCAUGCUUGAAUUUCAUGGAGAUCAAUAUCACCUCAGAUUCAGCAGAAAAAUCCGAUGAUCGACACUGCAGUAAUUUCAACGACGUUGAUGAUGAACUUAUGCUAUUUACAAUUUAUGAGCAUGACUGCAAAGACAAAAUUGAACCGGGCGAGAGUAAAAAACGACGUACUGAAAAUAUCGAUGAUGAAUGGUAAAUCGGUAAAUAUAAUUAAACUUCCAUAAUUUCAUUAAUCUCGAUGAUUGACCAAUAUGAUCAUUUUGUUACAGAAUCUCCCAGCCAAUAAUUCUCAUUCUGGACUUGUUUCUUGAGAACUUGUUUCUUCCAUGUAAUUGUUGAACAGAAAUAAAAUAUUGCAAUAAUUAAAUUCUGGUUGUUAGUCUUCAAAGUUUCCCGCAACUCUAUUUUUCGCAAAGAAAAUCGCAAUAGAGUACAGUAGGAGUUUGAAUCUCUUGCGCACGUCGCGCAUCACGUGUCACUCUUCCGGUGGAACAAUCAGCUGAUACUUUGUUACAAGUUAUGUUAAAGUCAUUAACAUAACAUUUUUUGCUACAUUCUAACUUCGUCCGAUAGAAAAUUCUCUAAACUACAAAGUACUUUUUUUUUCUGCAUUAAAUGUUGCGGGCGGGAAAAAUCUGGGCUCGAAGCGUUGUUGUGACAAAACUUGGAUUGUUUUUAAUUGAUUAUAAAUUUUCCGGAUAGAAGGUAGCACAUACGUUUUGAUUAUGUUUACAACGAAACUCUAAUCUAUCGAUUGGUGUAAUUUCUAUCCCCUGAAACCCUCCUUCCUAUAGAAAAGCGAAAAUGACGGGACUACUACUACAGAAAGUUCCUUUACUUUUCUGACUCGGGCAAUGUCCUUCAUGGAAUUUAGAGCAAUGGUAGUAGUAUAGUUUGUUUAGUGGUUCCGGCUGGUAUGGAUUUAGAAUAUCUGGAUCAGUAUGUUUCCUAUAUUGCCAACACGUCGAUACUAUAGAAAACAUAGUAGAAUUAUCAAUAUCCCCUCAGGGAUAUUCAUUUGCUACAUUUCGGUAUAAUUAUUGUGGGUUUCACUAUACUAGGAAUUCCCUCAUUUUCAUUUAUCAAUUGUAUUGAAUGUAUCUGUUUUAAUAUCACAUUGUGAAUGGCAUUUAUUUAGAAUAUUGAGAUGAAUGAAAUCAGCCAAUUUCUUAAUCGAGUUUAAAAAACUCUUCACCAGAGUUUUUCGGUUGAUCGUCACUCAGUCCGAGAAUGAGGAACAUUCCAUAUUUUAAAAAAAGGAGGUUAAAUUCCAAGUAAUUUAGUCAUUUAACCUCCUUCACAGACAAGUAAUUCAAUUUAGUAACAAGUAAUUUAGCAUCCUUCUUUUCAAAUAUAAAAUGUUCCUCAUUUUCUCACCGAGUGGCGUCUCAGUUUAUCCCAGUCGACGCUAUGGACCUCUUGGGAAGAAUUUUUCAAGUUCGAUUGAGAAAUUGGCUAAUUGUUGCCAUUCUGAACAAAGCAUUAUUAAAAUGAUAUUUAAAAAUUUUUCCAAUGUUUCAAUGUCAAGAUUUCAAAUUCAAAUUAUUGGAGUCAUGUGAUAGAAUGACUGUAAAAUUUUUAGACUCUGUGGGUCACGGGGAAUUCAACUGGAAGUUCUGAUGUAUCAUAAUAAAAGUAAAUAGAAGGCAUUCCACAGUGACAAAAAUAGCGAAACUUCCUGGAUAUUUUUGAGAAAUCAAGCAGAGCCCCGAAUCCUCGAAGUUUCUUACCAAAAUACCUUCCAAAAAUUAUCGAUAUUUUUACAAACUACGGUACAUUAAUUCUUAGGUAGCAAUGAUAAGGCUCAAUGUCCAGUGGUUUUGUAAUAUAUGAAUAACUUUGUCUAAAAAAUUUAUUUCAAAAUUGAGAGAAGCUGCUGGUCUUCUAUUAUCCAUUGAGAUCUACUCGUUUUCAGCCAAUGGUACAAUUUCCAAAGAUAUUCGAUUUCAUAUAUCAUCUUUCCGUUCUUGCAGUCAAUAUCAUGAAUUGAAGAUUUUCCUGUCAGUCGCCAUUAAUUCCAUUUUUCUUUCAGUCAUAGAACUUUCAAAUCACAUUUGUCAUUGAAUGACUCAGAAAUUACUGAAUAUAAGCGAAUUUUUAUAUCAGCCAUUUUUUAGAGGUGCAGGUAAAACGGAAGGUUUAUCAUAAAAUAAAACGAGUAUUUUGAAAAAAAAAGUUGAAAUCUUUGCAGUAAUUUUUGAGAUAUUGAGGAAAAAGGAAAUUUAUAAAAGUUGCUAUCUUAGGAACUACUGGACUGAUUGAGCUAAAAUGACACAUCAAAGUUAAUGUUAAUGAUUGUUAUCGUAAGUUGAAAAGUCAGAUUUUUCGCGUUUUCACAGAUUUUACAGUUUUUCUGGGUUUCAUAAUAUUUUAGAGAAUUUCCAAUGGUCAAUGGAAGGCUUCUAUUCUUAAGCAAAAAAUCAUUCUGAUAAAUUCCGCACUACACUAUUAAGAAUUUAUAAUCGAGAUCUUCUCAGUUUGAAAGUUCUUUGUGAAUUUCGAGGAAACCAUGUCGAAGAUGAGCAUAAAAAAAUAUACUGUCUGUAGGUUGAGUCAUUAUUCAAUGACUCACAAAUUUUCAUAGUGGCGCAUCCGUUUUUAAAAUUUAUGAAAAAACAUCUAUGGAAAUUACCUGACAAUUUGGUAACCGUGUCAUACUAUUCAGCAAAAUUUAACGACUACCUGGAAAAAUUUACCUACCAGUUGAGUAAUUUUUCUCGCAAUAUUAUACAGCGAUACGGUAAUUUCUCCAGAAGGCAAAUAUCAGAUUAUUCAUAUAUUAAAGUGAUUGAGCGAGUUGAUUUCGCAAUAUGCAAAUAAUUCCUCAUUAUUUAAAUAUAGACUUCAAAUUACUGAACUAUUUCCCAUUGAUUUUGUAAAAUGCUGAGUGGAGAAGUGCCGAAAAAUAAAUGAUAAUUUCCUAAAUAAUUCAAUUAUCAGUAAGGCAUAAUAGCCUGUGUAAUUGGCCUAGAAAAAUAUAAUUUCAUAUUUUCUAAUAUUAAAUUAUCAUAUUUUCCGUUCCUGCCCCUCCCACAAAAUGACAACAAUGAUAUUAAAAAAAUUACAUUUCUCCAUAUUUUUGCAAAUAAAUAACUUCAAUUUCAUCAAAUCAACUCAUCGCCAUAGCUUUGGCAUUUUGUACGUGCGAAAUUAACAAUUACCUCUUUCCCCCGACUGACGUAGACUUGUAUGUACGUCGAUUGGACGUGCCCUCCAGUCGGGGCUUUUUCAACUUAAAUUUUCAUAUGGAGCGCAAGCGCGACCAGUCAGUCACUUUCGGGAAGACGCAGAAGACGAACAGCUACUGUUCCGUUCAGCUCUCAGUGGUUUUUUAUAAUCAAUCAUCUCUGAAGUUGACUAAUUCCCCACAAUUAAUUUUCUUAGAUCAAUACCGCCUUUUUCUCUUGUGAUUUCUAAAUAAUCCUUGGACUUCCGGAGUUUUUAUUCUUCAGGAACUGUUUCAUCGAGUGUAGAACAUUUAAAUAAAAUGGUGAUGAUUGAUAUGACGGAUGUGCGACUGGACGAAGAUGACGAUGAGGAUCGAUUAAUUGUCGUCUCAUGACCCAUUUUCAAAUCUCCAUGAUAUUAAGGUCCAUUGACCUUGGUAUAUCCUCCGUUCGUUAUUUUGCGAAAUUAAUCGUUGAAUAUGGUCUUGACCUCAAAUGAAUAAAUCGUCCUCGAUUAGACUGUUGACAUGGUCAGGUGAAUUUUUAUUAUCCUUGUUUUGCUAAUCGCUCGAUAUCGGUCUAUUUCUACUCUCUUUUUUUUCAUUUUGUGUUUUGUUUUUUUUUUUUUUUUUU